GACGAACGCUGGCGGCGUGCUUAACACAUGCAAGUCGAGCGGUAAGGCCCUUUCGGGGGUACACGAGCGGCGAACGGGUGAGUAACACGUGGGUGACCUGCCCUCAGCUCUGGGAUAAGCCCGGGAAACUGGGUCUAAUACCGGAUAUGACUUCAUGACGCAUGUUGUGGAGUGGAAAGCCUUGUGCGGCUGAGGAUGGGCCCGCGGCCUAUCAGCUUGUUGGUGGGGUGANGGCCUACCAAGGCGACGACGGGUAGCCGGCCUGAGAGGGCGACCGGCCACACUGGGA
rnacentral:rRNA from 1 species